rnacentral:rRNA from 1 species
UACGUAGGGUGCGAGCGUUGUCCGGAAUUAUUGGGCGUAAAGGGCUCGUAGGCGGUUUGUCGCGUCGGGAGUGAAAACCAGGUGCUUAACACCUGGCUUGCUUUCGAUACGGGCAGACUAGAGGUAUUCAGGGGAGAACGGAAUUCCUGGUGUAGCGGUGAAAUGCGCAGAUAUCAGGAGGAACACCGGUGGCGAAGGCGGGUCUCUGGGCCGUAACUGACGCUGAGGAGCGAAAGCGUGGGGAGCGAACAGG